GACAGAGGUGCCGAGCGUUAGGCGGAAUCACUGGGCUUAAAGCGUGUGUAGGCGGAUCGUUAAGUACCUUGUGAAAUCCCACGGCUCAACCGUGGAACUGCUGGGUAUACUGCGGGUCUUGGGCCAACUAGGGGCAGCCGGAACAAGCGGUGGAGCGGUGAAAUGCGUAGAUAUCUGGAGGAACACCGGUGGCGAAGGCGGAUCUCUGGGCCGAUACUGACGCUGAGGAGCGAAAGCGUGGGGAGCGAACAGG
rnacentral:rRNA from 1 species